CCUACGGGAGGCAGCAGUGAGGAAUAUUGGUCAAUGGACGAGAGUCUGAACCAGCCAAGUAGCGUGAAGGAUGACUGCCCUAUGGGUUGUAAACUUCUUUUAUAUGGGAAUAAAAUGUUCCACGUGUGGGAUUUUGUAUGUACCAUAUGAAUAAGGAUCGGCUAACUCCGUGCCAGCAGCCGCGGUAAUACGGAGGAUCCGAGCGUUAUCCGGAUUUAUUGGGUUUAAAGGGAGCGUAGGUGGAUUGUUAAGUCAGUUGUGAAAGUUUGCGGCUCAACCGUAAGAUUGCAGUUGAAACUGGCAGUCUUGAGUACAGUAGAGGUGGGCGGAAUUCGUGGUGUAGCGGUGAAAUGCGUAGAUAUCACGAAGAACUCCGAUUGCGAAGGCAGUUCACUGGACUGCAACUGACACUGAGGCUCGAAAGUGUGGGUAUCAAACAGGAUUAGAUACCCGAGUAGUC
rnacentral:rRNA from 1 species